UACGGAGGGUGCGAGCGUUGUCCGGAAUCACUGGGCGUAAAGGGCGCGUAGGCGGCUCAUGAAGGCUGUGGUGAAAGUCCGGGGCUCAACCUCGGAUCGGCCGUGGCGACUCGUGGGCUGGAGCACUGUAGAGGCGGGUGGAAUUCCGGGUGUAGCGGUGGAAUGCGUAGAGAUCCGGAAGAACACCAAUGGCGAAGGCAGCUCGCUGGGACGGUACUGACGCUGAGGCGCGAAAGCGUGGGGAGCAAACAGGG
rnacentral:rRNA from 1 species